rnacentral:rRNA from 1 species
GAAGAACGCUGGCGGCGUGCUUAACACAUGCAAGUCGAACGGAAAGGCCCUUCGGGGUACUCGAGUGGCGAACGGGUGAGUAACACGUGGGUGAUCUGCCCUGCACUUUGGGAUAAGCCUGGGAAACUGGGUCUAAUACCGAAUAGGACCACGCGCUUCAUGGUGUGUGGUGGAAAGCUUUUGCGGUGUGGGAUGGGCCCGCGGCCUAUCAGCUUGUUGGUGGGGUAAUGGCCUACCAAGGCGACGACGGGUAGCCGGCCUGAGAGGGUGACCGGCCACACUGGGACUGAGAUACGGCCCAGACUCCUACGGGAGGCAGCAGUGGGGAAUAUUGCACAAUGGGCGCAAGCCUGAUGCAGCGACGCCGCGUGAGGGAUGACGGCCUUCGGGUUGUAAACCUCUUUCAAUAGGGACGAAGCGCAAGUGACGGUACCUAUAGAAGAAGCACCGGCCAACUACGUG